GAUGAAGAACGUAGCGAAAUGCGAUACUAGGUGUGAAUUGCAGAAUCCCGUGAACCAUCGAGUCUUUGAACGCAAGUUGCGCCCGAAGCCACUAGGCCGAGGGCACGCCUGCCUGGGCGUCACACGCCGUUGCCCCCCCAUCUACUCCUUCGGGAUUGCGGGGGGGCGGAUGAUGGCCUCCCGUGCGCCUAGCCGCGCGGUUGGCAUAAAUACCAAGUCCUCGGCGACGCACGCCACGACAAUCGGUGGUUGCGAAACCUCGGUUGCCCGUCGUGUGCGUUCGUCGCGCAUCGAGGGCUCGAAAAAAUGCUCGGCUCCGGCUGGGCUUUCAACGCGACCCCAGGUCAGGCGGGGUUACCCGCUGAAUUUAAGCAUAUCAAUAAGCGGAGGA
rnacentral:misc_RNA from 1 species